rnacentral:rRNA from 1 species
CCAGUGAAAUAUUUUUAACGGCCGCGGUACUCUGACCGUGCAAAGGUAGCAUAAUCAUUUGCCUUAUAAUUGAAGGCUAGUAUGAAUGGUUCGACGCGAGCAAUACUGUCUCUCCUUUAUUUCCUAGAAAUUAACCUUUAGGUGAAGAGGCCUAAAUAUAAUUAAAGGACAAGAAGACCCUGUCGAGCUUAAAAGACAAAGUAGAAGUUAAUAUCAUAAGAAAUAAAUAUUCUAUUAAGCUUUUUAGUUGGGGCGACUAAGGAACAAAUAAAGCUUCUUUCCUAAAAACAGGCUAAUUAGCACAGAUCCAGUACUCAUUACUGACCAAGAAAAUUAGUUACCGCAGGGAUAACAGCAUAAUCUCUCUUGAGAGACCAAAUCGAAAGAGGGGGUUGUGACCUCGAUGUUGGACUAGAAUAUCCGAAGAUGCAGACGUCUU